GAUGAACGCUAGCGGCAGGCCUAACACAUGCAAGUCGAGGGGCAGCACGUCUUCGGAUGGUGGCGACCGGCGCACGGGUGCGUAACGCGUAUGCAACCUACCUCUUACAGUGGGAUAGCCCAGAGAAAUUUGGAUUAAUACCGCAUAGUAUACAGAUUCAGCAUUGGGACUGUAUUAAACAUUUAUGGGUAAGAGAUGGGCAUGCGUUCUAUUAGUUAGUUGGAGUGGUAACGGCACCCCAAGACAGCGAUAGAUAGGGCCCGUCGAGAGGGGAGUCCCCCACCACUGGUACUGAGACACGGACCAGACGUCCUACGGGAGGCAGCAGUGAGGAAUAUUGGACAAUGGGCGAGAGCCUGAUCCAGCCAUGCCGCGUGCAGGAAGACGGCCCUAUGGGUUGUAAACU
rnacentral:rRNA from 1 species